rnacentral:rRNA from 1 species
UACGGAGGGGGCUAGCGUUGUUCGGAAUUACUGGGCGUAAAGCGCACGUAGGCGGCUUCGCAAGUUAGAGGUGAAAGCCCGGGGCUCAACCCCGGAACUGCCUUUGAGACUGCGUCGCUCGAAUCCGGGAGAGGCGGGUGGAAUUCCCGGUGUAGAGGUGAAAUUCGUAGAUAUUUGGAGGAACACCAGUGGCGAAGGCGGGCCGCUGGACCAGCAUUGACGCUGAGGUGCGAAAGCGUGGGGAGCAAACGGG